AGCAACCAUGACUUUGAUCAGCGUCUUCAUCUGCACACUGGCCCUCUGGACUCAAGGAUCCAGAGGUCAGGUGACUGUGACUCAGACUCCUUCAGUGCAAACUGUUGAUCCAGGAAAAACAGUCACCUUCAACUGUAGAACCAGUAGCAGAGUGUAUGAUGGUAACUAUCUACACUGGUACCUGCAGAAACCUGGAGAAGCUCCUAAACUCCUGAUCUACUAUGCUACUAGAUUACAGUCAGGAACUCCAGCUCGUUUCAGUGGCAGUGGAUCUAAUACUGACUUCACUCUGACCAUCAGAGGAGUCCAGACUGAAGAUGCAGGAGAUUACUACUGUCAGAGUGCACAUUAUAUCAGUAGUAGCUGGGUGUUCACACAGUGUUAGAGCGCCGUACAAAAACCUCGGUCAGUGAGAGUGCACAGAGAAGCACUGCUGCAGCUGGGAGCGACUGCAGGUGCUGAGGGGGAGGAUGUGAUACAGCACAAUGACACACACUGUGGACGAGAGAAAACACACCACACUAACUCACUAAUGCACACACACAUCUGUGAGAGGAGUCCACCUUUCUCUUUAUUCUGCUCUACAUGAUUAUGUCACAGUCACACUGAUGGCCACAUAAUGCAGUCAGAUAAAACCAUAAAGUUCUGACUCUACUGCUGAGACACUGAGACUCCUCUCUCAUUCUCCAGAGUCUCUGUGUGUUUCUCCAGAAGAGACUGUUAUUAUCAGCUGCAGGACUGGUGUGGAUAUUGU